GAACAUGUCCAGUUAAUAAAAGUUGUGUCCAACUUAAAGAAAUCUAAUUACAUUUAGAAACUACAUUUAUAUUCUAUAUAUUUUGUAACCCCUGCAAAUAUAUAUUUUUAAAUUAGUCUAAAAUAUGCCAACAAAUUUAACUUCUAAUGCAUAAAAAUAUAAAGAUGAUGUUGUGAGAUAAGAAUGAACACACAAAAUUUCAAAUAAAAGAAUUGACAAAUUACAUAAUUUUUUUAAAAAUAUUUUAUAUAAUAACUUAAUAAUAUAAAUCAUAAUCAAAAAUACUAUUCGUAUCACAUUUUUAUUAACCGAAAAAACUCGUGCUUUCGAAGCGUGGAUCAAAAUAUAGACUAAUAUAGCUCCUAAUAUUUACUUUAAAAUUAAAAUUCUCAAAAAAAAAAAAAAGAUUAUAGACAUCUACCAAGUCUGUUUAAACUAUAUAGUGGUUUGUUCUUGCACCAAAAUCUUGGUUAUACAAUUCAAAACCUAUUAUGUUGUUUUGUUACUUUUCUCCUUAAAACAAAGACAAAGAGUAAUGAACAAAGAAAAAUUAUGAACUUUUAUUAUCGGAUUGUUUUUUUU
rnacentral:lncRNA from 1 species